UCGCCCGCGAAAGGGGCUCCCGUUCCCCGUUCUUCGUCUCUCACCCCCCCCCCUUUCCGAAGUCGUCAUUCCCUUUUGCUGCAAAACUAAUUUUUUGCCUUCUUAUUAUUUUGUUAUUUUUUAAUUUUUUUCAGGCUGCUAUGGCGUCAGAUUUCACAGCCCCUCCUCCCUCCCUGUCUAUCACCAAGUCAGCUCUCGUUGCUUCUUCUAUGCCUCGGCACUGCCAACAACACCCAUUCCUUUCCGUGGAACACAGUCGGUGGUGGGUUUUUUACGAUGGGUGCCUUAGUUGCUGUGUUGAAGAAGAAUGGGGUCUCGAAUUUAGGGUUUCUUCCUCUUCUGCUGCUCCUUCGUCUUCUUCUACUACGUCCCUGUUGUGAGUUAAUGGAAAUUUUGCAACAACAACGACAUGCUGGAGGAAAAAAGGAGAGGCUGGGUCCAAUUGGAGAGAAGCUUCAUUUUGGUUUCGACCCUUCUUUGGUAUUGAAAUUAUACAUGUGUAGAGGAGAAUGAUUGGGAGUGGAGAGAAAACACUGAGAAAGUUUGGUCAAUUGUCUUCUUAGCACAUGUCUUCUUUUUAGUUAUUUUUUUAUAUGAUCAACUUUUGAUGUGCAAGCAGAGGUGGGAUGGAUGUCUUUCCCCAAUUUGGACUGAUUGUUGAUCAUUACCACAAAGUCCAACUUCGUCUAAGCAAAGUAGGUUGACCUAUACAAGUUGCUUCUAGAUCCAGUUUAAUUAAUCAUAUAUAUAUAUAUAUAUAUAUAUAUAUGUGUGUGUGUGUGUGUGUAUUCAAUGGCCCAGAUUCCUAUUAAUUAGGUCAUAGUGCUUUGAAUACAUGACAAAUGUCCUCCUCACACAUCACCCAAUCUGACAAGCUUUAUCCAAA